rnacentral:rRNA from 1 species
UAAUACCCCAUAGGUUAGAGAUGCUGGAAUGCCCUUUAACCCAAAGCUCCGGCGCCUUAGGAUGGAUCUGCGGCCGAUUAGGUAGUUGUUGGGGUAACGGCCCAACAAGCCUGUAAUCGGUACGGGUUGUGGGAGCAAGAGCCCGGAGAUGGACUCUGAGACACGAGUCCAGGCCCUACGGGGCGCAGCAGGCGCGAAAACUUUACAAUGCAGGAAACUGUGAUAAGGGAACCCCGAGUGCCCGUAUACGCGGGCUGUCCAGGUGUGUAAAAAGCAUCUGAAGAAAGGGCCGGGCAAGACCGGUGCCAGCCGCCGCGGUAAUACCGGCGGCUCGAGUGGUGGCCACUAUUACUGGGCUUAAAGCGUUCGUAGCUUGGUUGUUAAGUCUCUUGGGAAAUCUCACGGCUCAACCGUGAGGCGUCUAAGGGAUACCGGUAACCUAGGGACCGGAAGAGGUGAGAGGUACUCCAGGGGUAGGAGUGAAAUCCUGUAAUCCUUGGGGGACCACCUGUGGCGAAGGCGUCUCACCAGGACGGCUCCGACAGUGAGGGACGAAAGCUGGGGGAGCAAACCGGAUUAGAUACCCGGGUAGUCCCAGCCGUAAACGAUGCGCGUUAGGUGUAUCGGUGACCACGAGUCACCGAGGUGCCGAAGGGAAACCGUGAAACGCGCCGCCUGGGAAGUACGGUCGCAAGGCUGAAACUUAAAGGAAUUGGCGGG